GGUGGCUCAGUGGGAGAGUGCUUGCCUCGCAUGCAUGAAGCCCUGGGUUCGAUUCCUCAGCACCA
rnacentral:tRNA from 1 species